GAGGAAAGAGGGAGGAGGGAAGAAGAUAGGAAAGUUGAGCGAACAGAAGAGGAGCUUGUUUAUAUGAUGUUAGAGGCGGACGGGUGAGUAACAAGUGGAUAAAAUAUCUAUAAGACUGGGAUAAAUUCGGGAAAACGGAGCUAAUACCGGAUAAUAUAUUGAACCGCAUGGUUCAAUAGUGAAAGACGGUUUUGCUGUCACUUAUAGAUGGAUCCGCGCCGCAUUAGCUAGUUGGUAAGGUAACGGCUUACCAAGGCAACGAUGCGUAGCCGACCUGAGAGGGUGCUCGGCCACACUGGAACUGAGACACGGUCCAGACUCCUACGGGAGGCAGCAGUAGGGAAUCUUCCGCAAUGAGCGAAAGCUUGACGGAGCAACGCCGCGUGAGUGAUGAAGGUCUUCGGAUCAUAACCCUCUUUUAUUACGGAAGAACAAAUGUGUAAGUAACUAUGCACGUCUUGACGGUACCUAAUCAUAAAGCCACAACUCACUACGUC
rnacentral:rRNA from 1 species